rnacentral:rRNA from 1 species
UACGUAGGGUGCAAGCGUUGUCCGGAAUUAUUGGGCGUAAAGAGCUCGUAGGCGGUCUGUCGCGUCGGCUGUGAAAUCCCGAGGCUCAACCUCGGGUCUGCAGUCGAUACGGGCAAACUGGAGUACUGCAGGGGAGACUGGAAUUCCUGGUGUAGCGGUGAAAUGCGCAGAUAUCAGGAGGAACACCGGUGGCGAAGGCGGGUCUCUGGGCCGUUACUGACACUGAGGAGCGAAAGCGUGGGGAGCGAACAGG